rnacentral:rRNA from 1 species
CGGCGGACGGGUGAGUAAUGCCUAGGAAUCUGCCUGGUAGUGGGGGACAACGUUUCGAAAGGAACGCUAAUACCGCAUACGUCCUACGGGAGAAAGCAGGGGACCUUCGGGCCUUGCGCUAUCAGAUGAGCCUAGGUCGGAUUAGCUAUUGGUGAGGUAAUGGCUCACCAAGGCGACGAUCCGUAACUGGUCUGAGAGGAUGAUCAGUCACACUGGAACUGAGACACGGUCCAGACUCCUACGGGAGGCAGCAGC